UGGAGUCCAGGCGGCUGUUGGGGGCGGGGAGGGGGAGGGCGGGACGCGGCCGGGCAUGAGCGUGGCCUGUUCCGGCGAAGCUAACCGUCGGGACGCCCGUGAUGCAGGAGCGCGCAAAGCGGUUCUGACCGGAAAGCGCUGUGAUGGCACGAGUUUCCGUAGGUUCUGGGCAGCAAUGCCCUGAGAGCCCAGGAGGCCGGCGGGGACCUCGCGCUUCGCCCUCCCUUCGACGCGCACCCCUAGAAAGGUGCAGCCUUGCACCUUUGCUCAGGACCCGACCCACUCUUCGUUCAGGACGGAACCUGGAAGAGCCCACGGCACGCGGGUCGCCCACAGAGCCCGCACCAGGCAGAGUAACGAGCCAAGGGGCCGGUCACCCCCGGCAUCCUGACCCCCGGGGACCCGCGUCCACCCGGGGGCCUAGGAUAGAGCCUUGCUCCCGCUUUUAUGCGGUUUCUAUCCUACAGGGCAACUUCUCCCUGGCAGCCAGCACAGAGCAAAGCUACAGAAGCAAAGACAGAGAUUAGCGGGAAAUGAGAAGUGAUCAAGGCCACAGGGCCUUGACACCCGCCUUUCCACAUCAGCCGGCCCAGCUGAGUUCACCCGCCGUAGGAAUAUGGGGCCAUCAGAGCCAGGAUCUCUUCUGGGACCACAGCUGCUAGGGACUUACCAAAGUGGCUCAGCUGUAGUCACCCCCUAGCCAUCCUGCUUCACCCCUGGAGUGGCCUCCUCUCCGUUUCUGUAGAAAUGGCUCACUGAACCAAGGAACCAAGGUCCUUCUUGUCUCAAACGAAAAAUUGGGCAAGGCAAACCAAAAAGGGUGCCAAAUGUUUAUUUCAAAGGCCCCUCCAGGUACAAGAUUCUGGGCACUGGUCUGUGAAAUAAGCAUUUUAGAUGUAACACCAAAAGCUCUGGCUACAGGAGUGGAAACAGUGGUGCUUCGUGAGACCAGUAAGCGUCUGUCCCACAGAGGAGGGAACUGGAGGACAGAGCAACCUGCAGAAUUAGGAAACAGGUUUGGAAUUUAUAGACUGUGUAUAAGGUGAAUGAUAGGUCUUGCCAGCCUGGGACUCAGCUGUCUGUAACAUGACAUCUGCCCAGUUUGGUACCUGACCCAGAGAAACAACUGAUCCCUCCAAGGGAUAAUAAACCUCUUGCUUCCUUUCUGCACUGAGUCCUCUCCAAUCCCACACCUCCACAACCCCCCAAAGCCUUCUUUCUGUCUCUUGUCUUACACAAGUUAAUAUGUCAUCUUGCCCACCUCUCAAACUCCUCCUCCAGCCAGACCUGUAAAAGUAGCCCCACUUGUUUGUUCUCCUUUGAGAGCUUCUGUCCUCCCUGCCCUGUGAAGCAUUACAGGCCUCCUCCUUUGUCUCCUUCUUAUCUCUCAUUUUUCUCUGUGCUGUUUUGAUUCAGAUUGAGUGCCAGAAAUAUUCAAUCAGUUGAUAUCUAAAAGAUACAAGGGGCUCCUAUAAAUCAACAGCAACAAAACAAAGCACGCAUAGGAAAUGUGUGUUUUUUACAGGCUGUCAAAAUGGCUCCUUCCUCUAACCUAUUGGCACAUUUUAGAUAAGCAUAAUGAUAACAUUCUGCAUGGGGAACUUGUACCUGUAUAUAACAUAUCUUGCUUCUAUUUUUUUUCUCAUUUCCCUCCCUUUAGCCUCCUUCUAGUCCUUAUUCAAAAAAACUUUGUGUUUUUUUUCCCUUUCCCCUUCUUUUCUUUCCCUCUUCCCCUCACUGUUCCCCUUCUCAUUUGAACAUUUUCUUCCCCUUUCCCAUUAUCUAUUAUACAGUUAACACUCCUUUGGUUUUAUUUGUUUGUUUGGAGACAACAAGGUCUUUUUGUGUAGGCCAGGGUGGCCUUGAACUCACUACUUAAUCUGGGCUGGCCUCCAAUUUGUGGUGAUUCUCCUGCUUCAGCCUCCUGAGUACUAGGAUUACUGGAGUGUACUACUGUGCUUGGCUAUUUUUAAUGCUCUUAAUCACCAGGAAGAUGCAAAUCAAAGUCAGUUCUGGAGAUGUAACUGAAAGUAAUGUGAUCACAGCUAACGCUGCUUUGAUGACAUAACUUCAAUUUUCUAAUUCAGAAGUCUCGUCGCAGCUCCUACCAGGAGUCCCAGCUACUUGGGAGACUGAGGCAGAAGGACCACAUAUUCAGGCCACCCUGGACAACAGCGAGAUCCUUUCUCAAAACAAAGAUUAACGUGUCUGGGACGAAGUUCAGCAGUACAGAGUGUGUUUCUACCAUGUGUGCCAAGGCGCUGGGUUCUACCCUGGGAGCUGCCGAAAACAAUUAAGCCGAAGCUGUGUGUACUAUUCUUUCUGGAGGAAGCCCGCUUUUUUUUUGGUCCUUUUUUUCUUUUUGAGACUGUCUCAUUAUGCAGGCUUUCAACUCACAGGGAUCCUCCUGCCUCGGCCUCCUGAGUGCUGGGAUUACAGGUGUGUGUCACCAUGCCAAGUAUGAAACCUUUUUAAAGAAUUUGCACUUUGAAACAGGGUCUUGCUAAAUUGCCCUGGCUGGGCUCAAAUUUGUGAUCUUCCUAUCUUAACUCCCCAAAGUGCUGGGAUUACAGGCAGGUGCCAUAAACCCCAGCUAAAAUUAGUGAUUAUUUUUAGGUAAGUGAUUUUUAAAGUCAACUAAAAGGCAAGGAAGUUAAAGUAAAUUAAACAGUUUAAUAAUUAAAGAUUAAAAUAAAAUAUAGACAGUAGAAAGCCAGGUGAUAGAUCUUUUGGAAAAAGAACAGAGAUCAAGAGACAGAGGGAAGGGGAGAGAAAGGACAGGUCAAAAGAAUCAGAAUGUAUGGUGUACAGGAAUCAGCUUCUCGCGGUGAAUCCGAAGUGCUAUAGGUAGACACGCACCAGUGAAAUAAAAAUUUGGAAGGAAAAAAUGGGUAAAACACCCAAACAUGCAGGAUGUCCUCAGUGUGAUAGUUUAGGCGUAAGAGGUAGUAUAAAUUGGUGUAAAUGAUUCAAUCUCUAUAAGCCGAAGAAAAAGAA